AUUUUAUUUUGGUGGGGGGUGGGGUGGUGGUGGAGGGAGGCAGAGGUAGAUUGAGUCUUUUCAGGGGGAAGGGUGUGACGGGUGUAGAGCUGGCUGGGAAGAGCUGCUUGCUGAUUUUCAGCUUGAAUGUUGAAGUGACUUUUGUAUAGUGGGUUGUUCUUUGCAGCGUGUUGGUGUUGCACUGUCAGAAUUGUAUCAGUGGUGUUGUAAAAUGUAUACUCAGUGGAUCAAACAAACACUGCCAGCUGUUCCUUUGGCUUUUGACCUUCCUGUGGCAGGUGUUCUGAUACUACCAGUGGGACAGGAUAGCCUGUAGGAUCACCCAUGUGACUGGAAGACUGCAAAUACGAAGUGAUGAGUGAUGGACAGCCUGAGAAGGUAAUUGUCUUUGAAAUAUAUCUUGAUAUUCUACUCGUUGACUUAUUAAGGACUUAUGUAACCUAUAAUUUUUGUACUAGCUAAAAGAAUAUGCUUUGGUACGUGUGAAAGUUUCAUUUUUUCUUUCAUCAAUACGGUUCUGGAGGGCCCGGCAGACCGACGAUGGACAAAUGGAUCGUUUAUAUCAAGACUGUCAAGAAACGAAAAGUGAUGAAUAAUGAUCAGCACCAGAAGGUAUUUGUCAUUUAAGUAUGUCUUGCAACACUAUUCAAUGAGACUUAAGUUCCAUAUUAGGACAUUGUCUAAUUCAUAAUGAUUAUAAAAAAAGAAUUCCUAUCGAUGAAUCAGGGUUCGACUUGAAAUGUCGAAAAUCUACACUCAAAGUGAUCUAAAUUGUGUUGAUGAGGGUGUAGAAAACUCCAACUAAAAAAUUACCCAACAAGUUUAAAAUGAACACUUUACAUAAUUAUUAAUUUGUCUUAUUGAUCAGUAUUAUUCAGUAAAGGGAAUUUCAAAAUUGUUUGAAACUAUUAACACAAGAGAACCUUGUCCCAUCAUCACCAGGAUUGUCUACAGAGAUGGAAGACCGGACGGAGGUCCAGAGAACUACCUGGAGGAGUGACGGAUCAGACAAGCCCGGAGGACUGUCUAUCUCGACUGUUCGUUGAAAGACGGGAAGUGAUGAAUGAUGAUCAGCCUUAGACUGCCUACAACACCGGUUGAUCGCCUACAGCCCCCGAAGAUUGUCCAUGUCCACAGUAUCGAGAAUCAAGCUUUUGUAGGAUGAUCAGCCCUUGGAGACUACUGUCACUCAUCGGGCUUUUCGACAAGAAGGCACUGGUGUUAUCAGUAAGUCUACCACAGAAGGUAGAAGGUCAAAUAAACAACUACUGGUAAUGUUUGUUUGAUCCAUUUUUGAGUAUACAUUUUACAGCAUCAUUAAAACAGUAAUGGCAGUGCAGCACUAACAAGCUGCAAAGAACAAGCUAGUAUGCAAAAUUCACUUCCAACAUUCAAACUGAAAAUCAUUAGGCAGCUCUUCCCACCCAAUUCUACUUCUGUCACCCCCUUCCCCUUUAAAGGACCCAUACCUACACUGCUGUGACCCUGUAAGGAUAGGUUGAUAGGGAGCUAGGUGGGCAGGG